rnacentral:lncRNA from 1 species
GGAAAGUCUGGGAGAAAUUUUAACAGUAGUAUAAUGGUGUCCUUCCUCAAGGAGACCUGGUCUCCCCUGAAUUUAAGGGGUUCUAGGUCUGUAAACUGUCGCAAGUCAGAGAAUUGAUUGUGACAUUAAAAGGAAUGAACAGGGGGCCAGCCCCAAGACCAUAAGGGGUUGUGCUUUGCUGUGAGGAACAUAAACACGUACCUGAUUUAUCUUAACAUGGAGAGAUUCAUCAGUCACAUGAAACAACUAAUCCUAGGAGAGACAGGAAAAGACUGAUACAGUAGCUCAGCAGCGUUAUCAAGGACUUACCCUUUUCAGGAUUCCAUUGCUUCCAGUCUCAAUGUCUAGUUCUUCACCCUGGGUCUUGUUGAGUCACAUUGCAAUAAAGCAGUGGUAAGUAGAGACUUCUGUCUUUUUGCAGUCUGGAGUAAGAUGACAGUGUGAAGGACCAAGGUCAAAAGCUUUUUCCUUAUGCAGCUUUGCCUUCUCC